AAUAAGCGCAGCCAUAAGUUUUCAUGUCCAACUUUGAUCGUCCGUCUUAUUUAAAUUUUUUUAUGAUUACUAUUUUUUAUUAGAUUGUAAAACAUGAAUAAUACUUUAUGCGUUACUUAUGUUUUUUUAGUUUUUUAAAAAAAUUAAAAUAAGAUGAACGAUUAAAGUUGGA
rnacentral:pre_miRNA from 1 species